CAGCCGCCGCGGGAACACGGAGGGCGCGAGCGUUACCCGGAUUUACUGGGCGUAAAGGGCGUGUAGGCGGCCUGGGGCGUCCCAUGUGAAAGGCCACGGCUCAACCGUGGAGGAGCGUGGGAUACGCUCAGGCUAGAGGGUGGGAGAGGGUGGUGGAAUUCCCGGAGUAGCGGUGAAAUGCGCAGAUACCGGGAGGAACGCCGAUGGCGAAGGCAGCCACCUGGUCCACUUCUGACGCUGAGGCGCGAAAGCGUGGGGAGCAAACCGGAUUAGAUACCCCAGUAGUCCCUGUCUCUUAUAC
rnacentral:rRNA from 1 species